GUGGCCCCCGCGGUUGCCAUGGAGAGCGGGGGAGAGGGGCGCGCGUGACCGCGGCCCCUCCCUUCUCCUCCCGGGCUCGCCCGACGGAUCUCCUGUGUGUGCAUUAAUACCAAGCCACAUCCCAAUCCAAGCCCACAUGGCAUUUUUCAUGGAGGCGGUAGAUGUCUACAGAAAAGAUGCAGAAGAUGAUGAUGAAAAAUCUUCCUU